GUCUUCAGUGCUGACAUUAAUGUUUAAGCUUGGAUUCUUCUCAGCCAAUAAUUUCAUCAUGUCUUGGAGUUUCUGGUCAAAUUUCUCCUCCAUCUCUUGCUGCAGUUGUGCCUUGAUUUUAGCAGUUAGUUGGUUCACGUACUCAUCUGGAGGUUGAGCUGGAGCUGCUGAUGCCUUAGACUUUGGUUCCUUCUUUUGAAUCAGCCUCCCAAUCAGGUAGGAGGGGCUGUGUUCUUUUUCACCAUAAACCAAUUUAUUAGCAGCCUCCUCACCUUCAGUUGCCAAGGCCUUUUUAACAUCAUCCUGAGAAAGGACAUACCAUUUGAUUUAAAUACAAAUACCAAAUACCACAAUAUAACUAACAUAGGAAAAUGUACUGGAAACUUUAUGGACCUAGAUACUUACUAUUUUUUCGGUGACCUUUUCAAGCACCUUCUUAGGUAAUUUGUACUCACGUUUGGAAUCUCUCUUUCGAGUCUCCAAGUAUAUAUCUGCAUCAGAGAUAUGUACUGAUUUCCCUUCACAACCAACAUCAGCAUCACGCAAUUUUUCUUCUUCAAGUUUCUUAAGUCG
rnacentral:lncRNA from 1 species